GCUCCAAUAGCGUAUAUUAAAGUUGCUGCAGUUAAAAAGCUCGUAGUUGGAUCUCGGUAUUAUUGUUGCCUGCUGGCUUUAGAGGCACUAGCUGGCCUAGCGGUGCAUGGGUGAGCCUGUGCAGCGUGGGGUCGGCGGCCUUGGGUCGGCGUGGCGGCGGUGAUACCUUUCAGCCAUGUCUGUGGUGCAAUAUCCACAGGUGUAGGCGAGUGCCAGGCGGUGCCCUGCAACUGUGGGGUUCGUCGGCUUGUCUGCAUGCCUACGGAUGCCCUUUAAAAGGUGUCUGUGGGCGGAUGGCACGUUUACUUUGAACAAAUUUGAGUGCUCAAACCAGGCCGAUGCUGCCUGAAAAGUUUUGCAUGGAAUAAUGGAAUAGGACUUCGGUUCUAUUUCGUUGGUUUUCGGAUCCGAAGUAAUG
rnacentral:rRNA from 1 species